GAUGAACGCUGACAGCAUGCUUAACACAUCAGCAAUUGAUUGGUGGCGGACGGGUGAGUAACGCGUAAAGAACUUGCUUCACAGUUAGGGACAACAUUUGGAAACGAAUGUUAAUACCUAAUACUGUGAGAGAGCUUUGCGUCACAUUAGCUAGUUGGAGAGGUAACGGCUCACCAAGGCGAUGAUGGGUAGCCGGCCUGAGAGGGUGAUCGGCCACAAACGGACUGGGACACGGCCCUUACUCCUUCGAGAGGCAGGAGUGGGGAAUAUUGGACAAUGGACCAAAGUCUGAUCCAGCAAUUCGGUGUGUAAGAUGAAGUUGUCGGAAGGAAAAGGUCGUUCAGUAGGGAAGCGGUACCAACAGAAGAAGUGACGGCUAAAUACGUGCCAGCAGCCGCGGUAAUAC
rnacentral:rRNA from 1 species